rnacentral:lncRNA from 1 species
AGAAAAAAUAGAGGCCCUGCUAGAUCUCUUGUAUCCCCCCAUCUUGGGGUCCAUAGACUGCACCGAGAAAGGGGAGCCAUGGAGGGCCCCCUUCACCAGGGGAGCAAAGGAGCCGGCUGUACUGGGCACAGUUAUCUUUGCUUUCCAAGGCCUGGGGCUGGGUGUGGGGAGACAAGAGUCCCUUUCCAGGGAGGUUCCUGCCCCAAGUAUGAAAGGAUUGGGCCCCAGUGUCUAUUCCUGUCCCAUCCAGCACACGCUGGGCAGUCUGCAGGGCCUAGCACAGAGCAGACUCGGUGGGCUGCUCUGGGUCCAGGGAGCAAAGCCACCCCCGCCUUGAAGAGGUGCCAGCACUGGCCACUCACGGACACUGGGCCUUGCGACUGUGAGCCAGGAUCUUGCUCUAAGUAUUUUGGGGUUACUAUAAAAGCCCUGGGAUCAUUUGGUGCCACUGGGGAGCACUGCAAAACUAAAUUCUGCAUCUCUUCCCUUAUCUCCAAAAUGUAGAUAAUGCUACUUACUCAGAGGGCGGGGAAAAGACACCUGAGGUGACAUUUGGGAAAAUGUGAAGGGUUAGGGGUAUCUUGGCCUCCCUGCUUCUCCAUCUCCCAUGUUUAUUCAUUUAAUUUGCAACGAUAGACAAAUGUGGUGAUUUACAACCCAAAUCUUUUUGAGGAAACAUUUCUGGCACUGGUUUUCAACCUAGCAGCCAUGCUUACAGAGCUAUUAUUAGAUUGUCACUGUCUUUUUUUUUUAAGAACUUGCCACCAGUCUUUAUAUAGACACCUCCAUUUUUGAGUUUCUUAAUAUAGAUGCCUUCUCCAGUUUUGAGUUUUUAAUCAGUUCUUAGUCGGUGUGUUAGGGACAUUUCUAUGUAAGAAAAUAGGAAUGCGAGGGCUCUGUGUGGGUGCCUGUUCAGAGCAGGAGCCAGUGGCUUAUGGAGGCAGAGGAUGCUGGAGACCCUGGCGAGAAGCCAGGCCCAGGCAGGAGGUGAGUGAGCAGCAGACCAGGAGCCUCUGGAUCGCAGGGUCAGGCCCGGUGCUGGCACACUGGGAGAGCCAGGGAACCCUCCUGGUGUCACUGUGUUCUGGUUUGGAUAUCAGCUUGUGGACUUGGAAGGGACCCUGGGAGGAUGACUUGGGGUUCAGGUCAAAAUGCUGAUUGAGUCCUGGGCUUGGGGAUGCCCUGGUCCUGCAGCAGAUUCCCUGGGGCCCGGUGAACCUGCACCAGGGCAGGUGGGAGCUGGGAUCCUUGCUCCAUCCAGGUUCCUUCCACAGCAGCCUCUCUGCUUUGUUCCUGGAUUUCCUCAGCUGUCCUUGGGUUCAUGGUUGGUA